rnacentral:tRNA from 1 species
GUUUCUAUAGUUGAAUAACAACGGUGGUUUUUCAUAUCAUCAGUCAUGGUUAAAUUCCAUGUGGAAAUA